UGGGGAAUAUUGGGCAAUGGGCGAAAGCCUGACCCAGCGACGCCGCGUGGGUGAUGAAGGCCUUCGGGUUGUAAAACCCUUUCGUGCGGAAAGAAUAGUCUCGUAGCGAAUAACUACGGGAUUUGACGGUACCGCAGGAAGAAGCACCGGCUAACUCCGUGCCAGCAGCCGCGGUAAUACGGAGGGUGCAAGCGUUGUUCGGAAUUAUUGGGCGUAAAGGGCGCGUGGGUGGUUGUGAUAGUCAGAUGUGAAAUCCUUCGGCUCAACCGAAGAACUGCAUCUGAAACUUCAUAGCUCGAGUACAGGAGAGGGAAACGGAAUUCCCGGUGUAGAGGUGAAAUUCGUAUAUAUCGGGAGGAACACCAGUGGCGAAGGCGGUUUCCUGGCCUGAUACUGACGCUGAGGCGCGAAAGCGUGGGGAGCAAACAG
rnacentral:rRNA from 1 species